AUUGAACGCUGGCGGCAGGCCUUACACAUGCAAGUCGAACGAGUGGCGGACGGGUGAGUAAUGUAUGGGAACCUGCCCGAUGGAGGGGGAUAACUACUGGAAACGGUAGCUAAUACCGCAUACCAUCGGAUGUGCCCAGAUGGGAUUAGCUAGUUGGUGGGGUAACGGCUCACCUAGGCGACGAUCCCUAGCUGGUCUGAGAGGACGACCAGCCACACUGGGACUGAGACCCGGUCCAGACUCCGACGGGAGGCAGCAGGGGGGAAUAUUGCACAAUGGGCGAAAGCCUGAUGCAGCCAGGCCGCGUGUAUGAUGAAGGCCUUCGGGUUGUAAAGUACUUUCAGCGAUGAGGCGGUACUCGCAGAAGAAGCAUCGGCUAACUCCGUGCCAGCAGCCGCGGUAAUAC
rnacentral:rRNA from 1 species